rnacentral:rRNA from 1 species
GAUGAACGCUGGCGGCGUGCCUAAUACAUGCAAGUCGAGCGAACAGACGAGGAGCUUGCUCCUCUGACGUUAGCGGCGGACGGGUGAGUAACACGUGGAUAACCUACCUAUAAGACUGGGAUAACUUCGGGAAACCGGAGCUAAUACCGGAUAAUAUAUUGAACCGCAUGGUUCAAUAGUGAAAGACGGUUUUGCUGUCACUUAUAGAUGGACCCGCGCCGCAUUAGCUAGUUGGUAAGGUAACGGCUUACCAAGGCGACGAUGCGUAGCCGACCUGAGAGGGUGAUCGGCCACACUGGAACUGAGACACGGUCCAGACUCCUACGGGAGGCAGCAGUAGGGAAUCUGCCGCAAUGGGCGAAAGCUUGACGGAGCAACGCCGCGUGAGUGAUGAAGGUCUUCGGAUCGUAAAACUCUGUUAUUAGGGAAGAACAAAUGUGUAAGUAACUAUGCACGUCUUGACGGUACCUAAUCAGAAAGCCACGGCUAACUACGU